rnacentral:pre_miRNA from 1 species
GUAGGCGAACAUGUUUCUAGUGCACGGUUUUAGUUAAAGUUACGUGACUAGAUUACAUGCUCGUCUAUU